rnacentral:rRNA from 1 species
ACACAUGCAGUCGAACGGUGAAGGCGGAGCUUGCUCUGCUGGAUCAGUGGCGAACGGGUGAGUAACACGUGAGCAAUCUGCCCCUGACUCUGGGAUAAGCGCUGGAAACGGCGUCUAAUACUGGAUACGAGCUGCGAAGGCAUCUUCAGCAGCUGGAAAGAACUUCGGUCAGGGAUGAGCUCGCGGCCUAUCAGCUUGUUGGUGAGGUAAUGGCUCACCAAGGCGUCGACGGGUAGCCGGCCUGAGAGGGUGACCGGCCACACUGGGACUGAGACACGGCCCAGACUCCUACGGGAGGCAGCAGUGGGGAAUAUUGCACAAUGGGCGCAAGCCUGAUGCAGCAACGCCGCGUGAGGGACGACGGCCUUCGGGUUGUAAACCUCUUUUAGCAGGGAAGAAGCGAAAGUGACGGUACCUGCAGAAAAAGCGCCGGCUAACUACGUGCCAGCAGCCGCGGUAAUACGUAGGGCGCAAGCGUUAUCCGGAAUUAUUGGGCGUAAAGAGCUCGUAGGCGGUUUGUCGCGUCUGCUGUGAAAUCCCGAGGCUCAACCUCGGGUCUGCAGUGGGUACGGGCAGACUAGAGUGCGGUAGGGGAGAUUGGAAUUCCUGGUGUAGCGGUGGAAUGCGCAGAUAUCAGGAGGAACACCGAUGGCGAAGGCAGAUCUCUGGGCCGUAACUGACGCUGAGGAGCGAAAGGGUGGGGAGCAAACAGGCUUAGAUACCCUGGUAGUCCACCCCGUAAACGUUGGGAACUAGUUGUGGGGUCCAUUCCACGGAUUCCGUGACGCAGCUAACGCAUUAAGUUCCCCGCCUGGGGAGUACGGCCGCAAGGCUAAAACUCAAAGGAAUUGACGGGGACCCGCACAAGCGGCGGAGCAUGCGGAUUAAUUCGAUGCAACGCGAAGAACCUUACCAAGGCUUGACAUAUACGAGAACGGGCCAGAAAUGGUCAACUCUUUGGACACUCGUAAACAGGUGGUGCAUGGGUNGUCGUCAGCUCGUGUCGUGAGAUGUUGGGUUAAGUUCCGCAACGAGCGCAACCCCUCAUUCUAU